rnacentral:rRNA from 1 species
UACGUAGGGGGCAAGCGUUGUCCGGAUUUAUUGGGCGUAAAGAGCGUGUAGGCGGCCAGACAGGUCCGUUGUGAAAACUCGAGGCUCAACCUCGAGAUGUCGAUGGAAAUCGUCUGGCUAGAGUCCGGAAGAGGAGUGUGGAAUUCCUGGUGUAGCGGUGAAAUGCGCAGAUAUCAGGAAGAACACCUAUGGCGAAGGCAGCACUCUGGGACGGUACUGACGCUGAGGAGCGAAAGCGUGGGGAGCGAACAGG